UUUGAAAAUAUAUAUGAGGAGGCCCAAUGUAUUUUUUUGUCAUAGUCAAAAACCCAAAUUCUGAACUUAAUUAGGUAGACCCUCCUGGACAACUUGAAGUACCUAUUUUGCCCUUUGAGUUCCAACUCAAUAACCUAACCUCACGACCUACUAAGCAGAUCUCGUUUUUCCCCGCUCUCUCUCUCUAUCAACUCACGUUCCCCUCCAUCUCUCUACACCAGAUGUCACAACCCUUCUGCCGACCACCGCCACUCAGCCUCCCACUACCAGACCGCCGCCCACCGACGCCCACCGCCAUUCCCCCUUUACCUUGCGCCGCGUUCCAUUAGCCAUGCGCUGCUCUCCCUUCCAGCGACAUCGCCGCCCACCGCCACGCGCCCCUUUGCUAGAUCUUUUCUGAUUCUCUUUCUCGCCAGAAGAACGAUGUAAAUCUCAUUAAACUUUAUGUCCUCAAUAUUUUAUUUUCACUAGAUACCAUUUCUCUGUUAAUAAUCUGAAUUUUUGAUUUCCUUAUGAGCUUUUGCAUAAGAAUUUUUUGUCAUUAUUGUUGCAGAGAAUGGCUUCCUAGAAUGCUUAUCAUCCAUGGACAAUUGUUGGUGUGUCGAAUGAUUGAAAUUUGUGGAAUAGUGCCUAUGCCACCACCGAAGGUUUGGAAUCGGCUGCUCUGGCGAACGGAAAGAAAGUCCUCACCCUCUUCCCCACCGACGAUGAAACCCAUUCGGCUAGACAUGUCAUGCGUAUGUUUUGCUAUUUGUAUAAUUUUAUGAGAUGCAGAGAAUAAGAUGCGCCGAAGUGCCUUGUGAAGUUGGAUUCACACUACAAUAGUCUAGACUCUAUGUCACUAUAUAUAUAACUAUCGAUAAUUGUAGAUAACUAUAGUCACGUGUAGUAACAUAUAAUUAUAUGUAUGCUAUCUGUUUUUGAAUGUAUAGUAAUGCGUGUUCAUGUUUGAUGAUUAUAUGCAUUUGAUUGUGUUUUUUCA